rfam:Loktanella hongkongensis DSM 17492 genomic scaffold Scaffold4, whole genome shotgun sequence.
GAGGUGAAAUGCGGCGUGUAGUUGAGAAAGAUCUCGCCCCGCGCCUGGUCGAUCGCGUGAAACAGCGGGUUCCAGUCGAACACCGGCAGCAUGUAGCCCGGCAGCGUGUUGGCGACGAACAUCUUGCCCGAGGCGAUCAUGUUGGUGCGCG